rnacentral:rRNA from 1 species
UACGGAGGGGGCUAGCGUUGUUCGGAAUUACUGGGCGUAAAGCGUGCGCAGGCGGUUCGUUGUGUCGGCGGUGAAAGCCCCGGGCUUAACCUGGGAAUGGCCGUUGAAACUGGCGAACUGGAGUGUGGCAGAGGGGGGUGGAAUUCCGCGUGUAGCAGUGAAAUGCGUAGAGAUGCGGAGGAACACCGAUGGCGAAGGCAGCCCCCUGGGCUGACACUGACGCUCAGGCACGAAAGCGUGGGGAGCAAACAGG